CAUGAUAUAGACCAACAAAACAAUUAGAAACCAACUUUGGAAGGGAGUUUACGGCCAAGAUGCUCCUUAGGCCGUAAACUCCAAGAUUAAGGGUCAAAACCCCUUCAAACUCUUCCUAAGGCUUAGUCUUCAUGUUUGGCAAAUACCUUAAUGUGUUUAGGACCUAGACGACUCAUGAAAAGCACAAGUGUUGAAGAGUUUAUGGCCAAGAGUAUUUCUUGGGCCGUAAACUCCUUUAAAGGGGUCAAAGGACACCCUAGACACUUCCUUAGNUUCUUGGGCCGUAAACACUUAUAAAGGGGUCAAAUGACACCCUAGACACUUCCUUAGGCCAAGAGACAAUUAAGGCAUGUACCUAGAUGAGUUAUGGACUAACUAAAACAUUAAGAACCCCAUGUGUGAGGGAGUUUACGGCCCAAAAGGUUCCAAGGCCGUAAACUCCAUAAAAUGGUACCAUUUAGUGCCAUAAACCUUCCUUAAGCCAAGUGCUAAAGCCUAGACUUGUUCCUAGAAAUGUUGGAGACUUGAAAGAACAAUAAGAACCCUCCCAAGGGAGUUUACGGCCGUAAACUCCAAGGGAAAAGGGUCUUUGGGCCGUAAACUCCCCAAAGGAGUCAAUAUGGUGCCCAAACACUUGCAUAGGCCUUGAAACAAUUCCCACUAAGGUUGUAGUAAUUCAAAGUACCAUUCCA
rnacentral:lncRNA from 1 species